rnacentral:misc_RNA from 1 species
CCACGAGUUCGGAUGUACUUGGGCUACACUUACGUGGUGAAACUUCAGAACAUCCUUGAAGAAGUCAUCAAGGGGAAAUCGAAGCCCGGCUUUUAAUUGCUCUUCGUACACCAUGAUCGCAUCAUUUUCCUUGAAAGAGUGAUCGGCUCUGAGAUCGCUAUGGCAUCUGAUAAGAUCAAAGGAGUCUGUUCGAAGGUUGUAUUCUUGACUAAUGGAUUGCAGAUCGGUCUCCUAGAGGACCGACGGCAACUCGUCCACCGGGAGAUUCUCUCUACCCGAGGAAGAUGUCUGCCUUGAUUGAGUUGCUCGACCACGAACUAAAGCGGAAGUCGUAAGAGGCUCAGAUCGCCCACCUGGUCUGACCACUUCAACUUCAUCCGAUGAUCACGAGACAUGGACGGAAUGGGGGCUCGCCGCUCUCUGACCCU